UACGGAAGGCAGCAGUGGGGAAUAUUGCACAAUGGGCGCAAGCCUGAUGCAGCCAUGCCGCGUGUAUGAAGAAGGCCUUCGGGUUGUAAAGUACUUUCAGUCGUGAGGAAGGUGUUAAGGUUAAUAACCUUAGCAAUUGACGUUAGCGACAGAAGAAGCACCGGCUAACUCCGUGCCAGCAGCCGCGGUAAUACGGAGGGUGCGAGCGUUAAUCGGAAUUACUGGGCGUAAAGGGCACGCAGGCGGUUAAUUAAGUUGGAUGUGAAAUCCCCGGGCUUAACCUGGGAAUGGCAUUCAAGACUGGUUAGCUAGAGUCUUGUAGAGGGGGUAGAAUUCCAUGUGUAGCGGUGAAAUGCGUAGAGAUGUGGAGGAAUACCGGGUGGCGAAGGCGGCCCCUGGGACAAAGGACUGACGCUCAUGUGCGAAAGCUGGGGAGCAAACAGGGAUUAGAUACC
rnacentral:rRNA from 1 species